UUGAAGAACGCUGGUACUACUGCCUGGGCAAGCGACAGGUUGCAGAUGUCAGUAAAGACCCCUGCAAGCUGCUCAGCCGUCAGGGCCAGCAGCCUUGCGAGCUUGAUGCUGCUCAGUGCGUUAUGGACAUCUGUGAUGGUGAGAGUAAAGGCACGAACCCCAGCGGAGCACUCCAUUAUAAAGGGAAAUAUUCCCGCCAUUAAUCCUCUAUCAAGAUUACAGAUUCUUCCCGCCUCAAAACUGGACAGAACCGGACAGAACCACUCAUGCCAAGCACAGUUGACCCCAAUAUGACCAAGCUGGUUGCUGGUGGGGUAGUGCUUCAGCAUGCCGAAUAUGAAGAGCCUAGAAGCAGUGUAAAGAUAUAAAGGCCAUGUCCACAUGUCGCAAUAUUGAAAAUCAUUAUAAAAUCACAAUGUGACUGAAAGCGCCCCCCGCAAGAAACGAAAAAUGGCACGUUGUGUGACCACACAGGUUGCACAUAGCUGGAAUGGAGCGGGGUCACCUCACUUUAGAUACAAGUGGAAUUUACAAACACGGACAACUUCUCUCAACUCUCUAACUCUCAUUCCUUUCGACGGGGAGAGGCCAAUGUGACAUUUUAAUGUCUGUCAUAAAAGUAUUCCCUAGAAAACCUCUUGAAAAGUUCUGCUUCACAAACAAGGACAUUGUAUGGAAUUAUUUCCAGUCAUACAGAAGUUCAGAGAAACAUCUGGAAAAUGUAGAUUUCUUCAUCCCUAGGAGGACCUAUAAAGAUUUACAGUUCAAGUAGGGGAAUCAUAAAGCGGGUCUAGAUUACGCUGCUUGUAAUCUAUUCUAUUCUAAUGCCUAUAUAACAGCUGAGAGGCCUUAACGUUUCCCAGAGUUUGUACUGCAGAGCAGACACCAGCAGUUCAUUCAUAUUACAUUGUCUAUGAGGCGGACAUUAUAACAUAAUCUGCUUAUAUAAUAACACACAGCUGGACUGAUGUCACUAAGAAUCAGUG